AGAUAUAUUAAUAAUAAUAAUGGGAUCAUUUCGUGUUUAGAUUUUAAGGAGGAGAGGAGGAGAACCCAACUGCCAAGGGAUUCGGGCACUCGGGUCCACUGCCCUGUUCUAGUGCAUUCUCUGGCAACACUGGAUCUCUGGCCGGGGUCCAGUGGACCUGCAGUGAACAGCGCCAGGUCUAUGACCCGCUGACAAAGCACCAGAAAACUAGAAGCAACCAAACAAACCACACAAACAAGAAAACUGAAGCCGAAGGCUGAAGGCUUCUGGUUGUCUGUUGCUUGGUUGGCAGGUGAUGGGGAUGGCCUGCUGUAAAACCAACCUGUGUUUUAUUUAUUUUUUAAAUUUUUUUAAUGAAGGCUGUGCGCAACUCUUUCCAGAAAAAAAAGAAACUGAACCUGAAACCUGAAACUGAAAUUGAUGUCUGUGUUUUAUUUUAUUCAAGUUAUGAAACUCUUUUUAAAGAAUAACAAGUUAAAGGAGAUUUGCAUCAUUUUCUCAGACACAUGUCGUUCCAAGCCUGUAUGACUUUCUUUUAUGGAACAUAAAAGAAUAUAUUCUGAAAGUCAGUGGGAUCUAACCACAUUUGGUCCCCAUUGAUCUUCCACCUUCCCAAACAUUUUCCAAAAUCCUAUUUUGUGUUUCAUGAACUGAUGGAUGAACUGUUUCUUUAAAAAUAAUUGAUCUAAUCUGAGUUUUUAAACUUUUAAAGUUGAUGACGUGUUAUCAUUCAUAUUCAUGAACAUCAUCCGUCUAACCUUGCCCAUAAUUCAGCAUAAUGAGGUUUGAGAAACAGAAACCAAGAGCAGAAUCGAAAGUUAACAACCUGAUACAACAGAAAUCCUGCUGAUCUCAACUUAAAUAGUGUAGAAGUUGUCUUAAUUGUUAAUUCAAGCUAAUUAAUGUUAACAAAUAUGGUAGUGUUACUGAAGGUAAAAGUGAUUUUUCAGUCUUCUGUGUUGUAAUUUUUUGGGUAUGGUGUUAAAAAAAGCAUGUGUUCUGAACCUAUAAAUGUAUGCAAAGCAACUGGUAAGAAACAUAUGUGUUGUCUCAAUAAAGUUAAGAGUGUCUAAGAUUAAUUUUAGUGGACGUUUAAAAAGCGCAAUCAAAAAUGCUGUCAUUCACUUUGGAACAACAGCAAAGCCUUCCUGUAGUGGGACGGGCCGACAGAAGAUCAGAAACUUACUGAGAAAACGAAACACAUGAAAACAAGGCCAACCGCUGUUCCCAGAUCAGUUGAGGGCGGUAACCUAGUAUAAAUUACAGAGAGACACACUGAUCUGUCCUUUCCGUGACCAGAUCCUUCUGCUGCCAGAUCAACAAGGUAAGACAACUAGUUAUAGAGAAAAUUUCCCGUAAUUAUUACUUUAUUACAAAAAUGUGUUUCCUUAAAGAUUACAUAAAGUGUUUUCAAUCAUUGCAAUUAAAUGAUUAGCAAAUUUUGACAUGCAAAUUUUAUUUUGGUGUUUAUGUCGAUGUGUAACCUGGAAACUGAAUCAUCUUUACAGGUCUACGGUGUUUCCUCUGUGGGAGAUGCUGUGGAAACCUGACUGGUCUUGGAGCACUAAUGUCAUCAUGAAGGAGGCGGAGGUCAUGUAAAUCCUUGCUGCCAGGGGCCUGCGCAGUCUGCGAAGCCUAACACCGCUGUGACGCCUGACGAUCCGCGCAUGAAGCCUCAAAUUUCCGACAAAUGCUACAAAGCCAAGAACCGACCAGAAAAAAACCAAUGAAUGUAAUGCCAAAACUGAACCAAGAAAUCUCUUUAACACGUUGCUGACCAAUGAAUACUGCUACAAAUGUAAAGUAAAGUGAAGAAGCGAAUUUUUGGUGAAACCUUUGGUUUCUGCAUUGCUUGGUUCGGUUGGUCCGGGGCCCAGCUGAUAAAACAAAAAGCCCCGGAAAAAAUGUUUAAAAAAAUCUAAAUAAAAAUAGUAAAAUCUGCAACAAAAAUUCUUAUUGUACUGUGUUUAUUUUUGUUUAUCUUCCAGUGUUUGAUGAUGAAUUUAUUAAC
ensembl:lncRNA